rnacentral:rRNA from 1 species
UACAGAGGGUGCGAGCGUUAAUCGGAAUUACUGGGUGUAAAGGGCGCGUAGGCGGUAAGAUGUGUGUGGUGUGAAAGCCCCGGGCUUAACCUGGGAAGUGCAUCGCAAACUAUCUAACUAGAGUAUAUGAGAGGGUGGCGGAAUUUCCGGUGUAGCGGUGAAAUGCGUAGAGAUCGGAAGGAACGUCAAUGGCGAAGGCAGCCACCUGGCAUAAUACUGACGCUGAGGCGCGAAAGCGUGGGGAGCGAACAGGAUUAGAUACCCUGGUAGUCCACGCUGUAAACGAUGAGGACUAGAUGUUGGUAGGGGAACCUAUCAGUAUCGAAGCUAACGCGAUAAGUCUUCCACCUGGGAAGUACGGCCGCAAGGUUGAA